CAGCAUUUAUUAACUUUUGUCUUUUUAAAUUGACUUCAGAAAGUUAUCUGCAGCCACACAUCCACUGUAUACCAAGUUAUGAUGAACAAUUAUGAAAAUGCAAAAGGAUUGAUAGAUCAGUAAACAAGCAACAAAAAGAUGGGUGCUCAUGGUGGCCUCCAAAUAAAUACAUGGACAGGCUGCUAAAGAGGGUCAGGAUGAUGGAGAUGCAAGAGCCAAAGACAGCACAGACCAAACACCAGGCCAGAAUUCUGCAUGAGUCAGAUUGAGUAAUUUUCACUCUAGAGACCCUUGGGUGACCACCAAGGACGAAUGCAAACUCCAGUGAGUGUCUCUAAGGUAGAUCCUAAUGCAGAUGGAUGGAAUGUUGAUCCGCCUAACAUGCAAGAUUUUCUGUACCGAGAACUUUGGAUGACCACGUUUUCAAAAAUCUGACCUCAAUUUUAGUAACCAUUUAGAUAUUUUAGAUGUAGUCCGAGAGCUUGCUGACCCUCCAUUAAAAAUGUAUGUACGGUAUACUGUUCAUGUCCAGAAAGGUAAUAAAAACAUCAUCAAAAUAGUUCUUGUGACAUCAGUGGGUCAGUUAGAAUUUGUUGAAGCGGCAAAAAUACAUUUAGGUCCAAAAAUUACGACUUUAUUCGGCAUUGUCUUCUCUUCCGGGUCUGUUGUGAACCGUGUGCAUGACACUGCUUCCGUACGAUGCUGUUGGCUUGUUAUCUGGUGCACCCAAGCUUUUUUUUUCCGUUUACAGUCUGAGAGACGCUGUAAACAAAACAAUCUUCGCAAACAUGUCUGAGGAUAACACGUCAGCAGCGUCGUACGUCAGCAGCGCCACUGUGCACGCGCAUUCGCAACAGGCCCGGAAGAGAAGACAAUGCUGAAUAAAUCGUUAUUUUUGGACCAAAAUGUAUUUAUGAUGCUUCAACUAAUUCUAACUGACCCACUGAUGUCACAUGGACUACUUUGAUGAUGUUUUAAUUAACUUUCUGGAAAUGAGACAGUAUACAGCACAUACAUUUUUUGGAGGGUCAGAAAGCUCUCGGACUAAAUCUAAAACAUCUUAAACUGUGUUCCAAAGAUGAACGGAGGUCUUACAAGUUUGGAACAACAUGAGGGUGUGUCAUUAAUUACAUUAUUUUCAUUUUUGGGUGAACUAUCCCUUUAAAUGGAAAACACCACAGCUUUCCAAAAUGUUACUAUGUUUUUACCUUAGACGAAUUAAUACAUCCCUAUCUUUUUUCAAUACGUGCACUUAAUCUUUGUACAGUGCAUUGUGAAUGUGUUAGCAUUUAGCCUAGCCCCAUUCAUUCCUUAGGAUCCAAACAGGGAUGAAUUUAGAAGCCACCUGACCCAACCCUUUCAUGUUUUCCUUAUUUAAAGACUGUUACAUGAGUAGUUACACGAGUAAGUAUGGUGGCACAAAAUAAAACGUGGCGAUUUUUUUAAGCGGAUAAAAAUGAGAACUAUAUUGUAUGGCAAAAGAGCACUAAGUUUGCAGCACUUCGACCUCGGCGUGCAGUAACAUCAUCACUCCUGAUUACUCCACCUCUCGCUCAAACUCAAAAGGGGGGGAGUAGUCAGGAGUGAUGAUGUUACUGCGCGCCGAGGAAUGAAUGGGGCUAGGCUAAAUGCUAACACAUUCACGACGUGCUGUACAAAUAUUAAGUGCAUGCAUUGAUGAAAGAUAAGGAUGUAUUAAUUGAUCUAAGUUGAGGUAAGAACUUAGUAAAAUAUUGAAAAACUGUGGUGUUUUUCUUUAAAAGCAGCACCCCUAUUUAUUUUGGGUGCUAAAAAUAUUUGCCACAGACAGUUAAGGCCUUAUGCUGCAUUUAUUAGAAGGCGUUCCCAAUUCUGGUUGUCCUAGUAAAUACUAUAAACAAACGAGUAACAAUCCUCUCAGUAAAUGACAAAAGACGGAUGACAUGAACUUCACUGCUUCACUCUCAUUGGUAGUUGCUCCCAAAAGUCCUUCAUCAAGUUGAACUUUACUCAAAGUUGUGGCAUAGCUGGACAUGCUCACUUCCUGUUGUCAAUGGUCACAGUUGCUCAUGUUGCUUAAUGGGGCAAAGCUUUCAUUGGAAUGAACGAGAUUGUGUUGCUAGUCGCUGGCGGUGUAAAAGCAGCAUAAGUGUGUGUGUCUUUAAAAAUAUAUCAAAUGCAAAUUACCUGAUCUAACAUUCCCAGCUACAGAGGGCAUCCUUUAUUCAGUCCCUAAUGCAGAUGGUUGGAGUGUUGAUCCACCUAACAUGAGGGGUAAAAGAGUGUUUGUUAGCAUAAUGAGAAAGAAAACAGAAACACAUUAUUAGUGGCAUUUAAAAACAUAACACUUGUUUAUACUACAUUUUAUGUUCAAUCCAUAGAGCACUCGUUUUGAGUCCUGAGACCCUGGGGUGACCACCGUGAACAAAUACAGACUGCAAUAGCAGUCUUGACGGUACUAGGAUGAAUGCAAAUGAAGACUAACCACCUGACAUCAGCUGUCCAGUCUCUUGUGGGAAGCAGGUGCUUGUUACCCCAAAUACGGAUGAAGAGUGACGAAGAGGAUGAUGACUUUUUGCUCAAACAUCAUCUGAAGAUCUUGACAGGCUGGAGACAAAAUUAACAGACUGAGGGUUUAUACAAAGAAUCUUACUCAGCCAAUAUUAAAGAUAAGAUAUUUUUACAAAAUGUUCUUUUCAUUGUUUAGGAUGAUUUUAUGUAGAAAACAGUACAUCACAAAAAAGACUUUAGCUGGGUUUUCACAGGCAGAGCCUUACACACACACUAACCACAAUUAUAAACGCAACACUAACACAGAUUUAGACAGAUUUGUGAAUAACAUUUGAGAGAAAUAGGCCUUUUGGGGACAUAGAAAAUAUUUAAGUUCAGCUCAUGAAAUGAAAAAUGGGGGCAAAAACAAAUAUUAACAAGUGUAAUACAAAUAUCAACCAUAAUACUGAUCGUUUUAAAAAAGUAAGCCACUAUAUCUUUCUAGAAUCUUACACAAGACUCAGUUACAUGAACGAUCAAAAUAAAUUAACGUCAGACAGGUGGGCGAAAGAUCAAUAUUAAAGCAUGAAUAACUGUUAUCAACCCAAUUUCG